rnacentral:rRNA from 1 species
GUCUAUGGCCAUACCACCCUGAAUGUGCUCGAUCUUGCCUGAUCUUGGAAGCUAAGCAGGGUCAGGCCUGUUAAGUACUUGGAUUGGAGGAACUUUAUACC